rnacentral:rRNA from 1 species
UGGGGAAUUUUGGACAAUGGAGGAAACUCUGAUCCAGCAAUUCUGUGUGUGUGAAGAAGGUUUUAGGACUGUAAAACACUUUUAGUAGGGAAGAAAAACAUGACGGUACCUACAGAAGAAGCAACGGCUAAAUACGUGCAAGCAGCCGCGGUAAUACGUAUGUUGCGAGCGUUAUCCGGAAUUAUUGGGCUUAAAGGGCAUCUAGGCGGUAAGACAAGUUGAAGGUGAAAACCUGUGGCUCAACCAUAGGCUUGCCUACAAAACUGUUGAACUAGAGUACUGGAAAGGUGGGUGGAACUACACGAGUAGAGGUGAAAUUCGUAGAUAUGUGUAGGAAUACCGAUGAUGAAGAUAGCUCACUGGGCAGAAACUGACGCUGAAGUGCGAAAGCUAGGGGAGCAAACAGG